GGGCAGGGUGUCAUCUGACCUCAUUCAGCUGGAAGAUAUGAAUGCUGCUUCCCAAAUGCAGCCUUUCCCCUGCUGCCACCUGCUCCUUUCAGCCUUCCAACAGUCCUGGUGAUCAGAGCCACAAGUGCCUGCUUUGUCCACUCUGAGAAAUAUUCUGGAUUGGAAAUGGGGUAGAGGAGGGAGCUGGGGCUUGGCAGCUUUCUCUUUCUGCAGCCUGAACUUUCUCUGGCAGUUCACCCAGCUUUGAGCCCUCUGACCCCUGGGCACUUAUGUUUCCAGACUGCCUUACCUGGAGAUUUGCAUUUGGUAGGUCCCCCUGGGGCCUGGAUAUCCCAGUUUCAUAGGCCCCAGGGGGAGAGAAGAGAGCACCCCAGGCUAAUGCACCAUGCCUUUCACCUGGCAGUGGAGGUCCUGUUGGUCCAGGGUUUGAGCUGCCACCUGGCCUUGCCUCUAGGGCCUCCCUCCAAGUGUGCCAUGUGGGGUGGCACCUUGACUAUUUGUAGUUUCCCAGGCUCUGCCUCCCUGACCUUCUGGCUAAGGGUAUCUGGAUUUCUGCAGAAGAUGCUCCCCCUUGCGACCCCAUUCAGGCCAUAUGCUCAUUCAGUCCAGGUGGGCUGGGCCCCUAUGUGGCCCCAGAAGUGGGCAUCUGACACUGACCGAUUUCUGGAUGGACAGGUCACCCCAUGUGAACAGAUGGGACUCUGGGUUUGGGUUGGGCUGGUGGGAAGAGAACCUCUCUGUCUUCUGGGCCAGUUCGGAAGGCCUUGUAGGUCCAUCCGCCCUGGGUGAUUUCUAUUUAUCCUUCGAGGCCUGCUCAAGUACCACCUCCCCUGGGAAGUUUCCCUGACCCUAGCCAGAGCAGGCCACACCUCCUCUGAGCUCCCAACUGAAUCUGCCCAAUGCCUCAAACCUCAUAUUGUCACCAUUCAUGAGUCUGUCUCCCCACUGUCAGCAUCCUGAAGGCCAGGACCGAAUCCCUUUGCACAUUCCAACCCAGAGCCUGACCAGGAUGUGACACAUAGCAAGUGCCCAACAGGUGUUUGCUGAAUGCAGGGUGAACAUCAUUCCCUUGAAUGGGACCAGAGCCCAGAAAGGAGGGCUGGAAGUAGGGACACACACUCAAAUCUGAUGGGAAGCCAGCUCUGCUUGCCCUCCAAUCAAUCAAUCAAUCAAUCAAGCGAUCAAAGCAAUCAAUGGGAAAGGAACUUGAUUUCUGAAGCACCUGUGCUGGACCCCAGGGAGGCAGAGCACCUGUUCAGGGUCCAGGUAAGCCAGAUGAGUCAGAAAGCCAGGGCUACAAUGUCUGGGGGCUUGGGGUGCAGACAUGCAAGGGAACAGUGAGUUCUGCUCUCCUGCCCAUUUGCACCUUCAAGGCCUGAGACUGCUUCAUGAGUUACUCUUUUUUAAACACAAGCAAUUCUAUGAUAAGGGAGCUUCACCGAGAGGCUCUGAUAAGCAGGAAUGAAACUGCAUUGGCUGUCAGAAAUGCAGAGACAGCUGCAGGUGGUGGUGAGAAUGGGGGAAUGUGGCCCAGAAGCCCUGAGAUCACAGACCUAGGAGCUGAACCAAGAACCCCGAGGUUCUAGGCAGCAGCUCGGACACAUGGACCUGGCUGAAGGUAACAACAGGGGCGCCAGGGAACCAGAGCAAGCUGGGGUAUGUGCUUCAGACUUCCUCCGAAUCCAACAUGCAAAAAAAUCCCUGUGCUGCCUAUUGGCUGCUUCUGGAGCUAGUCUGGCUGUUGCAGACCCCCCUCCCCCGCCGCUGCUGUUUCAUAAGCCUCGGUUUUCCCCUCUGGGGCACAUGCUGACCGUGCACUGGGCUGCGGUGGGUGAGUACUGCCACCCUGCCUGGGGUCUGGAGGUGCCUACCAAAGCCUCUCUUCUCUCCCUUCUCUGCCCUUUGGCCCAUCCCUCAGUCAUUAGUCUCCCUGGCUGCUGCUUGUCGCUCCCAAUAGCAAGGACUUCCUGGAGGGCAGGGGCAGGUCUGAGGCCAGGCUCUUCUGCCCCAGUGUUCGCUGGGUCAGUGAACGAGGGAGGACACAGCUGCAGUGUCUCCUGCUCAAGAGUGCACGAGGUGGAAAUAACUGGGUGGGGGUCUGGUACCCUAAGCCCCUCCCUCUCUCUUUCUCUCUCUCUCUCUCUCUCUCUCUCUCUCACACACACACACACACACACACACACUCACAUGUGCCCAGCACUCUAGUUUCCAUGACAAUGCAUGUGUGAAAUGCAGCAGCCACCUUCCCAAGAUCGGAGGAAAGUCACCCUCUUCCCCAGUGGGCUCCAGGGGCCUGGUCACAAGGACAGACACAGACGCCAUGAGGAGGACAUGCAAACAGGCUGAACUGCAGAGAACAAAGCAGGUAGGGGUGGGGGAUGGGGCCACUUCACUGGCUCAGAGGACACUCUCACCUAAUGCAGCCAGGCCAUACUGCCCAUGGCUGCUGCAGACUAGGCUUAUCAUUUGGGAACUGUACUCAGGUGCUUUCUGCUGGCCCCUCAUUUUACAGACAGGGAGUGGAAGCUCAGGACUUGCAUAAGGUCAUCCAGCCAAAAAGGGCUGAAUGGGUUCUUGACACCUCCCAGCCCAGACCAGGCACAGGGAAAGGGUUCUGGGCAUUUACUGGACUAGAGUCUAGCCCUACACAGUUUACUGUCCUCUGCUCACUCUGUGUUCAUGCUGACCCUCUCUGUUUCUCAAACCCUCCAAAGCUUAUCUCACGACAGGGCCUUUGCACUUGCUCUUUCUUCUGCCUGCAACAUGUUGCCCCUUGCUCUUGCACGGGAGAUCUCAGCUACACUCCAAGCUCCUCCUAGCUUCCCAUCUUUUUCCAGGCUGUUUUUGUCAUAGCACUCACCACUACCUGAAGUCAUCUUGUUUGGAAACUUGUUUGCUUGCUACUAACCACAUCCCCUUCUCUGAAAUGUUUCAUGACAGUGGGGACCACACUUGUCAGGUUCACUGCUGUGGUCCCAGAACCCAGCCCUGGGCCUGGCACAUAGUAGGUGCUUGAUAAACAUGUGCUGAGUUCAGGAACACACAAACCCGAGUAGGGUCUUCCAACUCUACUUGGUGCCCACAGUGUCACACCACUGUCAUCACUAAAGGUCCCCAAACCCACCAGGGAAGGAGACUUAGACACUAGUGGUAUGCCAAGGGGGGGGGUAGUGCGGUGAUGGGGGGACAGGUCCCAGGGGCCUCUUCCUAGUGUCCCAUCCUGCCACAGGGCCUUACUUUGGGCCAGAGAAAUAGUUAAUAAAGCUGAGGCCUAAAUAAGCAUUUGAUUAACAAACGAUAAAAUAGCUAUUGUGUCCCUGAAUUAAGCUGUAAUUGUGGCUGAUAAUUGGCUGGUUAGAAUUUAAUAAGCUGCAAUUAAAUAGAAUGGAAUCCAGGGUAAUUAUGUGGUCACACAGCCCAGAGAGAACUAGGGAAGGAAGGCUUUCUCCUACUAUGGCAUCUUCUGCUGGGGCAGAAUGUGUGUGAGUGUGCAUGUGUGCGUGUGCGUGUGUGUGUGUGUGUGCACGUGUAUGGUGGGCCUCCUCCACCUUUCACCUGGCAGAGGGGGGCAGUGGACGCUAGCUCAGCCUCCUCACUGUUACUCAGCAGGAGGUCAACCUGCAAGCUCUGAGCCCUGCCAGGGCCAAUGGCAGUCCUGACUGAAAGAGACCUAUCAGGCACUGUCCCGGGCAAGCAGGAGGCUGCUGGAGGGAGACCAGGAGGACCCUGGGAAGGGACCCACAGGAAAAUCCAGUCCAGAUCCAGCUCCUACCAGCAGCAGCAGUCCCGAGGAGAUGCAUGGCUUGCUCCUCUGGCUUCCUGGCUGAGAGACCAUUACUGACGUAGGCUGGUUGUGCAAUGGCUGCCUCUUCCAUCAGACCGUGUACCCUGAACUGCACGAAGCAGGUGUGAGCCACCUCUUGUCAGUGGCGCCCGCCUCAAGGACUGGCCAGCUGGAGGGCAGUAAUUGUGGCUAAGUAAAAGCAUUCCCCUGACUUAUGGAAAGCUCUUGGCUGGGUACUGUGUCACUUCUAUCCCUGCCAGCUAUUGGCCCAGGGCACAUACUUGCUGAAGGCAGGGGACAGAGACCCUAGUUGGGCGUCAGAAGAUUGGGUCUCCAAUCCUCACUCUGCCUCUAUAAGGCUCUGUGGCCUUGGGCAAGUCACUGCCCUCUCUGAGCCUCAGGAGGGUCAUGAGUGGCAGACUCAGGUAUCUUCAGGGGCUGGGCGGGGGCCAGAAAUGGAGAGUAGAGAUGCCUGUCCAAGAGGUCAGCCCAGCCUGGCCAACUGCUGCUGCACAGGCAGGCUGGCCAAGGGGCACUGGAUUUUUUUCAUUGAAGAGAAGUUGGAAACCCAUUUCUAUGUGAAAUGUCCUGUUUUAAAAUGUUGAUAACUAAUUUAAACAUUGAAACACCUUGUGGGCCAAGCAAGUUGGAAGGCCAAAGCCAGACUGGACAAUGCCCAAGGCCUCCUCCUACUUUUCAGAGCUAAGAAACUGAGGUCUGGGCAAGGUGAGGGCCCCCCCCCGGUCACUGCUCUACCCUACUGGUCCCCUCCUCCUCUCUGACUCUUCCCACCCUUGCCAGCACCCUGUCAUCCCGUCUUUUCCCCAGGACCUCUCCUUAUCAAGGCCUCUUGAAGGAAGUCCUCUGGGGUCUGGGCAGAGGCUGCACGAGUCAUCUGUUCACCACCCCGGAUGGCUGGGACUUGUCAGCACGAGCAUCCACCCUCCACUGAGGCAGAGCAGGCGCUACCUCUCUGGAAGAGGCUGAGGGCUGGAAAAAGGGCUGAGAGCCACUCCCUGCUCAGGAAAGCAGUGGAGUCAGGAGAAGGAGCUGAUGGAGGGUUAGGGGCUGUCCUGCCCCAUUUGUCUUGGGUCUGGUCCUCAGAUUCUGACCCCCAGAGAGCCAGAGAAGGCUGCCGAAGACAGAGGCACAGAUAGGACAGGGAUGGGCACCCACAGAGAAAAUGCCCUGCAAUGACCCCACUCAAAUUCUGGGUGGGAGUCGGGGAGAGGGGGGAUGGUAGGAGCCCAGGCCUGGCUGUGAACUUCCAGCAGGGAAGGCGAUGUCUGGCUACACCCAUCAUACCCCUGACGAGGCAGUAAUGAGCCCUCACCCCAUUUUAAUUACAUGCUGUCCAAAUAAUUACCAGUUUGUUUAUUUUACUUAAUGGCAGCCAUACUUUUUUCUCCUAAUAUUGAUUUCAUGUUUUCCUGGUUUGUUCAUUAUCUUUCCUACCCCUUUAAUGGGCUCCGAGGUCUGGGGGUGGCGGGGGAGGUGGGGACUAGAGGAAGGUAGGGGAGAGGGUGUGAGGGAACAUGGA